rnacentral:rRNA from 1 species
UACAGAGGGUGCGAGCGUUGUCCGGAAUCACUGGGCGUAAAGGGCGCGUAGGUGGCGACCCAAGUCGAUGGUGAAAGCUCGUCGCUCAACGACGAGUCGGCCACCGAUACUGGGUUGCUCGAGCACUGUAGAGGCAGAUGGAAUUCCGGGUGUAGUGGUGAAAUGCGUAGAGAUCCGGAGGAACCCCAGAGGCGAAGGCGGCGUUCUGGCUCGCAACUGACGCUCAGACACGACAGCAUGGGGAGCGAACGGG